rnacentral:rRNA from 1 species
UACGGAGGGUGCAAGCGUUAUCCGGAUUCACUGGGGUUAAAGGGUGCGUAGGCGGAUUGGUAAGUCCGUGGUGAAAUCCCCGAGCUUAACUUGGGAACUGCCGUGGAUACUAUCAGUCUUGAAUAUCGUGGAGGUAAGCGGAAUAUGUCAUGUAGCGGUGAAAUGCUUAGAUAUGACAUAGAACACCAAUUGCGUAGGCAGCUUACUACUCGAUCAUUGACGCUGAGGCACGAAAGCGUGGGGAGCAAACAGG